AUUGAACGCUGGCGGCAGGCCUAACACAUGCAAGUCGGGCGAGUGGCGGACGGGUGAGUAAUGUAUGGGGAUCUGCCUGAUGGAGGGGGAUAACUACUGGAAACGGUAGCUAAUACCGCAUACCAUCAGAUGAACCCAUAUGGGAUUAGCUUGUAGGUAAGGUAAGGGCUGACCUAGCCGACGAUCACUAGCUGGUCUGAGAGUAUGAUCAUCCACAGUGGUACUGAGACACGGCCCAGACUCCUACGGGAGGCAGGAGUGGGGAAUAUUGCACAAUGGGCGCAAGCGGGAUGCAUCCAUGCCGCGUGUAUGAAGAAGGCCUUCGGGUUGUAAAGUAGUUACAGUCGGGAGGCGUUACCGGCAGAAGAAGCACCGGCUAACUCCGUGCCAGCCGCCGCGGUAAUUC
rnacentral:rRNA from 1 species